rnacentral:rRNA from 1 species
GAUGAACGCUGGCGGCGUGCCUAAUACAUGCAAGUCGAGCGAACAGACGAGGAGCUUGCUCCUCUGACGUUAGCUGCGGACGGGUGAGUAACACUUGGAUAACCUACCUAUAAUACUUUGAUAACUUCGUGAAACCGGAGCUAAUACCGGAUAAUAUAUUUAACCGCAUGGUUCAAUAUUUAAAGACGGUUUUGCUGUCACUUAUAGAUUGUUCCGAGCCGCAUUUGCUAGUUGUUAAGGUAACGGCUUACCAAGGCAACGAUGCGUAGCCGACCUGAGAGGGUGAUCGGCAACACUGGAACUGAGACACGGUACAGACUACUACGGGAGGAAGAAGUAGGGAAACUUCAGAAAUGGGCGAAAGAUUGACGGAGCAAAGCCGCGUGAGUGAUGAAGGUCUUCGGAUCGUAAAACUCUGUUAUUAGGGAAGAACAAAUGUGUAAGUAACUAUGCACGUCUUGACGGUACCUAAUCAGAAAGCCACGGCUAACUACGUG